rnacentral:lncRNA from 1 species
CGGUCUCGUACGUGACGUGCGCGAAGAAGGCGGCGAUCUCGCGCUUGCCCUCCGCCUCCGUGCCGCCAUGCGCGAAGGCCGGGAACGCGUCGGCAGCGCUCACGAACGCGCUCCGCGUGUAGAAAUUCUUGCCCUCGCACCCGUUCCCGGCCUGGGACUUGAUGCCGUCGAAGAACGCCUCGGUGACGACGCUAGACACGGACGCGCCGGCGCCGCCGCUCCCCAACCCCAAGCACGGGCUGGCGGCACAGAGGAGUGCUAGACCAAGAGCCAGCAAGGGCGUCAGGAUCAUCGUCGUCCGCGUCGGUGAGGUUCGCCGUACUGGAUAAGAGGUCUCAGCUCGGUUGCUUAGCUGACUUUUGAGCGGGAUGGCAUAUGGCAUGGUGCGGGUGGCGUUUUAUAUAUUCAGAGAUCGACCGAUCAGUGCACGCAUGAUGCAUCUUCUCGAUCGAUCGAUUGAGUAUUACUAUUUGCACUGGCACUACUGUUCCACAGCUUGAACUUGCGGUGGCACGCAUAUCAAUCAGCAGGUACACCUGCGACUAGCUGCGAGACUGCGAUAACGGAAGGUGACACUGCAUUUGGAUCCUCGUGUGUACGGAGUACUACUGAGUACUGACUAGCGAGUCAUCCUUUCUGGUGUACACGUAGAGCUGCCGCUAUCAGGCCGCCGCUAGCUCUAGCAGCCGUACGCGCUGUUCAAGUCCAUAUAUUGAUCAUGCAUGUGAGGAUAUAUAUCGAUCGGUGACCUGAUGCGUGUUACGUGUAUGUCCAAUCCAGCAUACAAACGGUCAAUCAGAAGGGAAGACUUCCAAGAUUGCUGCUGUUGACGGUUGCUUAGUUUGACACGCAGUAGCUUAUUACACCUUUGUUUUCUUGUCCUUUCUAGUCUUCAAUGCCACCGAGUAAUUCGGCAGAGCUCGGCUCUAAUAAUCAGAAGCCGCAAGGACAUUGCCUUCAGAUAAGUAUAAGCAGUAAUAUAAACUAAAUUUCAGCAAAGUGGACUAAAAAACCCACCAAACUACUGUAGAAUACAACGACCAACAACUCAAGCACGAAGACUAACUAUUAAAGCUUAAAUAUAAUUUCUAGUGCACGACAUCACGAGGCAACACUAAAAACAACUCCUUCAUCAAAAACACUAAAAACAACUCGGUCGGAAACAACAAAAUCAAACUACCAGCUCCACUCACUCUAACAAUGACUUCACUAACAACUUGCACGAUACAUACUUGGGAGAACUUAGGAUAUGGUGUUUGAGUUACACAUCUUGUACAUUGUUUCAAUUUUGGACUAGAUAUACAAAUGUUCAAUUCAAACCACUUUCCUACCGGGCUUGAUAUAGAGCUUGGGAUGCAGGUGUAGCAAUAAAACCUAUCAACAACUCUGCCACUGUUGAAGCCUCUGACGCUAGUUGGAGCGGAGUCGCAGGCAUACCUGCAGUAUGGGCGGGCCACAGACUUGUGUAGCAGGUCAAUUGCAGACUGUAAAGCACAUUAAGCCCCCUUUGAAACAAAAGAUUUACAUAAUACAAAAACAGGAGAAAACGUAGGAAUAGUGUCAAAAAACUUUAAAAUAUAAAACUUCAAAUCCUAUAUGAUUUAAUAACAAAUUGAAGUUUAUGAAUAUACCUUUGGAAGCAAUGUAGGAAAAACAUAGGAAACAAAACAAUGAGGUCGGGGCCUAUUUGGAAAUUGGAAUGCAUGAAAAUUCUUCCAUUCCUGCGUUGGGAAAUUGAACUGAUUCCUAUAAAAUUCUUGUGUGACUCCUUCGAAAUUAAUGUGUUCCAAAUAGACCCUUAGUUUCUUCCAAAAUUCCUUUAGAAUUGCCUAAUCCAUAACCGAUUUAAAGGAAUUGUUGGGAAGCAUUCCUUUUUUCCAAAAAGAUAUUAUAGAAAUUUUUCCUACAUGAAUUGAAUUCUUUGAAAUUCCUAUGUUUUCCUUCAUUCAAAGGGGAUCUAACUACUUUAGUAGGGGUAAAGUUCAUUCUACCUCCCUAAUACAUUAACAUUAUAAUAUAAUUUUCUCCUCGAACUUCAAAAGAGGAUGUCUUACCUCCAGAACUCUCAGAAGUUCAAAUUAUCACCCUGUCCUAGUUUGGAGUGGGUUUAAAGAUGAUUUUGUCAUUUUUAGUUAAAAAAUGGUAAACACUUGAUAAAGUUUUUAAUCCAUAGGAAAUGUCUCUAACCUUUUAGAACUUAUAAAAAGUUGUAAAGAUAGACUGAGAUAUAACAAUUCAAACUAAAAUAUUUACAACUCAUGAAAACAUCUUGAAAGACUUUAAAAAAAUCAGGUUUAUCUCUAUAAAAUGGAAAUAUCUAGAAAUUUUUUGGAUGCAUUCUAAAUGAUCUAUAAGAACAUUUUAAAAACUUUGCAGGGAAAACGUAUGAGAUGCAACCAACAUCAAUGCAACAGUAAUUAGUGUUGAAUGCAUUCGUGCUGGUUGUGAAUUACAUUUUUUAUUGUGGAAAGUUUUCAAAAUGCGUUUACAUAUUAACUAGGAUGUUUUCAGAAUUUUUAGUUUUUUGCAUACUUUUUCAUUUUCUUAGAGCUAAACCUGUGUUCUGAAGCAUCUUGACACGUUUUCUUCAGCUCUAAUAUUAUCUUGGGUUUGUUGUAUCCCAAUCUACCUCUUUUUUUGGAUUUUUUUAAAGCUUAGAAUCACUUUCUGUAGUUUUAAAACUUAUCAAGUAUUUACCUAUUAUUUUAGCUAAAAGAAGGACAAAACCGUCUUUAACACCACUCUGAAUCAGGGUAGGAAAGUAAUUUGCUGGUAGGUAAAAUGUGUGAUUUAGAAUUCGAGGGCGAGGAGGUAGAGUAGUCUUUUCCAUCAUAAAAUUUUGGGCCUUGUAUGGUCAGCCCACUUGCACUGUACAGGCAUGCUUUUUUCCAGACGUACAUGGGAAUUGGUAUAUUAGUAAUUUAUUAGAGAGCGAACCUCUCCAAGGGUGGAGUACGGGAAACUAAUGCAGAAUAGCUUGACAUAUUUGCUGGAGUUUUGUUUUGUUCUCUAAAAUUUGUGAUGUGGAGGCCAUUUAGAGAUGUACUAAAAUACUAAAAAUGAUCCAGACAUUAUGAAUUUAGUACUCUACUAUAGUUUGUCAACCUAAAUCCCACUGAUUUUAGUGAAAUAAGCCCAUUCCUCGCGAUGGAUUGCAGAUGGACUGGCAAGGGAUGCAGAUCAAUCCAUUUCAUUAUAUAAACCAAAAAAUAAGUAGUGAGAAAAUAUUGAACGAACCACCUCAUUUCUUAAACAAACACCUUUAUAACCUUUAUAUAACGCACCAGCAAGGCACGCUGGAAUAGAGAUACCAAGCACCCAAAUUGUUCGUGGCACUUAGCAUAUCACAGAUGCUUCAUUAUUCAUGAUCCUGCAUUUUUUAUUGUUACUAAUAGCACGUACUCGUGGCGCCAUAUUACAAGUAUAUAUGCUACGUACGCUGAGUAUUAUUUAUUCUUCUUCACCAGCCAAGUAUGCAUGCAUGCAUGAACGGUGAACUCGGCACCUCUAGCAGGUGAGGUUGUUCCCCGGGUCGACGCCGAACUGCUUGCAAUAGUCCUUGUAGUAGCCCACCCGCGCGUUCACCGCGCCAGGGUUCUUGCCGUUGCACUCGAGGGCGCCGUUGAUGGCCCGGAUGGUGGCGCCGAACCCCUGCGGCAUGACCUGGUGCACAUUGUUCAUCCAGAACCAGAGCGCCGUCUUGAAUGAAAUCACGGGGUCCUGCGCCACCUUGUCCGGGUUCCCGAGCCCGUCGAAGCCGAUGGCCUUUCCGGCAGGACCGUAGUUGUAGUUCCACGAGAUCUGCAGCGGGCCGCGCCCGUAGUACUUCUUCCCCGGGGCGCAUGGCCACUGCCUGUUGUUCGCGUCGCAGUAGUUCCUGCUCGCUCCGUUGAUCUCGUUGAUGUAGCAGAAAUCUGUCGAUCGGUAAAUAUAUAUAUAUAUAUAUAUAUAUAUAUAUAUAUAUAUAUAUAUAUAUAUAUAUAUAUAUAUAUAUAUAUAUAUAUAUAAUGCCAUCGCGAAGUUGAUCAGCGCGCACGGGACCGGCCGGUACACCACCAUGCAUGCAAGAAUUGAAGAUUACUGGCGGUUUAAUUAAUGAACUCACGUCCAGUCUCGUGCGUGACGUGCGCGAAGAAGGCGGCGAUCUCGCGCUUGCCCUCCACCUCGGAGCCGCCAUGGGCGAAGCCUGGGUACGCGUUGGCGGCGUUCAGGAACGCGCUUCGCGUGUAGAAGUUCUUGCCCUCGCACCAGUUCGGGGCCUGGUUCUUGAUGCCGUUGAAGAACGCGUCGGUGACGACGCUACCCACGUUCGCGCCGCUACCGCCGCCGCCCUGGCACGGGCCCGAGCGACACCCCUUGCCACAGUAGGCGUCGCCCUUGCCGCAGUAACCAUACUGGCUGCAGCAGUAGCCUGGCUGGCAGCCGCAGUUCUGCGCGGCGGCCGGGCCGGCGCCAGCGCAGAGGAGUGCUAGCCCGAGAGCCAGGACCGUCAAGAUCCUCGGCGCGUUUUCCAUGACGGAUAUCACAGCUUCAGUUUUGUGACUAUUUGCUAUUUGGUAUCCUCUCUUGUUGUGAUGAAUUGUGAUGAGGUGAUUUGAGGUGGUAUGUUGGUCGUGUUUAUAUAGAGACCAGGGCUUGCAUGUCGUUCGUGUCUUUGAAGACCACCAGGAUGGACUAGCUACGUUUUGUGUCCAGGCGUCCAGCAUCGUGCAUUAGUGCCGCUGGCGCUACUGUUCCACAUUUUACGAACUUGUGGCGGCAAACCUCUCCACAGGUACGUACUCUCUGUUUUCACAUUCUGCGACGACUGCCGACUAGCUGCAAUAAUGCAACGCGAUUUAAAGUUUUGGAACUUCGAUAGCAGCCGUGUACUUGUUACUUGGUGGAAAUGUGCGUGCUAUACACUGCGCUACUGGCACCAGUCCUUCACAUUUCUUGUACAUUUUUCUCUUCCGCAUAGACAUUGCCGUCAUCCGGCCGCUGCUGCAGCCGUACAUCACCGAGUAUCGAUGGUCAGUUCCACGGAUCAUGCCUGACUGCUUGUGCAGAUACAUCGGUCGCAUUGGUCAAUCCAGAAAUGAAGAUGCCUAUGAGAUACAUCUCUCGUGCUACACCUGUCACCCCCGCCCUCAAGGGUGGUUUUAAUUUGUUUGAUCAAGGCUAGCAGCGGGUUGGCCACAGGUGUUCCCGGCCGGCGGUCGACAAAGGUAGAAGAUGGCGAAAAAAAUGCAUGGCGGAUCUGAUAUAGACUUACCCCAAAUACGUGUGCCGAUGAGAGAAAUGCAGCGACUCAUCUGCGCAUUGGUUGAAGCAGUGAUCGCCUACACACUGUUUGUUGAUUCAGUUUUUUAGAAAGACUACAAAAGAUUUGCUGAAUUUUUAUUAGACGAAGAAAAAGAAACAACUUCAUAAAUUUACAAACAGGGCAACAAAAAUAGAGAGAAAAAAAAACUCACCACCACGGCACUAUGGCCCCACCCUCGACUAAAGACCUCAGAGCCCGAAACCAGCCAAAACAAACAAGAUGACCACUAAAAAUAAAACUAAAUUUACGGCUGCCGCACGGUACAGUAAAUCUUCCUUGCAAAACAUGGCUACUUCGCUUGGCCGCAUCGACUUGUUCUAAAACAUUCUUCUAUUAUGCUCUUUCUGUGUUCUUUGUUAAUCUUGUUGCAGUACUUGCGCCAAUAGCUAUGAAAAGAGCAUGUUAUUCCAACUAAGUCUAGCACUGAUAAUCCAAGCUACUUUCUUAAGAGAGACCAAACUUGCUUUGCGAAAACGCAAUCCUUACAAAUUUAAGAUCAUUUGGCCAGUUGCGUUUCAUCAGAUCGUUUGUUGUAAGGAUUCUUUUAUAUAGCAGCGUCUAAGCAAAAAAAAAUCUAUAUUUGGGUUCUACCUUUGCUUUUCAAAUAGCAUAAGUUUCAGCUUGCUGAAAGUGCCUUGGAAUUGGAUCGAGUAGGCACUUUUGGCCAUGUAUGCCCUACGAGUUUCCACAGAGUAAUCUCCUGCAGUGUGAUUAAGGGAUAUAUGAGCAAUCCAACAGUUCUCUUUCAGUGGCACUUGGACCGACAAUUUUUUAGCAAGCUACAACUGUAAAGUUUGUAUAUGAAUUUAGGCCUUGUUUAGUUUCCACCUAAAAAUUUUUCGACUCAUCAUAUCGAAUAUUUAGACACAUGAAUGGAGCAUUAAAUAUAGAUUAAAAAUAAUCAAUUGCAUAAUUUACACAUAAUUUUACGAGACAAAUCUUUUAAUCUAAUUAGUCUAUAAUUGGACGCUAAUUGAUAUAGUUACAAAUAUGCUACAAUACUCAUUUUUUUCUUUUCAAGAACCGAAUAAAGCCUCAGUUUUUAAUUGCUGCAAUCCCCCUCAACUUUUUUUCUUUUCACGGACUGAAUAAAGCCUCAGUUUUUAAGAGAUAUUUUACGGUUCUUGGAGGAACUACCGGUUUCUCUAAUCCUCUCCAUCUUAAAACAGGAUAAUAAUGAAUAUAUAAGUAAGAGUAGCCUAGUAAUUGUAACUUAAGUCCCUCCCGGGGCACCCAUCCGCCCAGUGCUCGGCUCCCAGCGUCGGUGAUUGGCCUGCUUCGUGCUUCUAUCCUACAUGAUCCACCGCUGCAGCCCUCAUCGAUCGAAUACUGAACACCGGUCGCAAUGUCGCAUGGGACUCCAAAUUUCUCUAAGGCAUAUCCUUGAACAACAUGUCGAGCAGGUCGAGGUGUGGAGGCGGCGCCGGCAUCUUGGGCAGGUCCAUGAUCACGUAGCGCACCCAGAUGGGGGAGAUGCGCGGCCGCCGCGGGCUUAGUCCCCCACCGCAUUGAUGAUCUGCCUUGCGUCUAGCCCGUCGGCGAUGGUGUGGACAUAGAUGAGACCAACUAUGAAGCCGACGCACAUGAACUCUAUCACCUACAGUAUCAUCCAUCCUCGUGAUGCAUAUAGCAGCUCACCUUUGUUCGUCGAUGAGGUGGGUGACAGAGCACUUAACUAAUCACUUCUGGACUGGACGAGUGCUCAGUAGAAUAUAAUAGCUACAGAUCGGGUGCAUUUGCAUCCGUGCAUUAGCUUCUAGGUGGUGAGCGCUGCAUCUUGACAUGGCCGGCGGGUGCCGCCGAUAAGAUGGUUUUUCCGAUCCAUGGCCAGCGAAUACAACACAGCUUAAUAUUGUUGCUACACGGAAGUACCAUUUGUACCCUCCACGAUUUAAUUAGAGCUGGUUCCGGGUCCAUUAAGUUUUGGUUCUGGCCCACAACUUAAGUUCAUUUUAGUAGAUUCUUCUUGUUUCUUAACCAUCUGAUUUAGCCAAACGGAUGGCUCUAAUUAUUUUCAAGCACUGUAAAAUUUCUCAGUUUUUAAACCCUUGCUGCAAUCCAACAGUCCUCUUUUAGUGCCGCUUGGACCAACAAAUUUUUAGCAAGCUGCAACCGUAAACUUUGCAUAUUGGUUCAGUUUUUAAACCCUCGCUGCAACCGUAAAGAGUACAAGCGAUCUGCAAUCGUACACACUGUUUCGAGGCAACAUGCAUAUAAUACAGUUGCUUCAUUAUUCCGGUUGAACAAACGGGCUCAGCCCCGGCGUUUUAUUAUUACUGCUUGCUAGCACGUUCCGUCGCAAAACUAGGUUUCGCGAAGGGUGCGAUGCCAAGCAUUUAUUUAUUCUGGACGAGCCGUGCGACGAGGAGCCAAAGGACUCGCCGACGCCGCUCGCCUAGCUACCUAGCAAGUGAGGUUGGGUCCGGGGUCGACGCCGAGCUGCUGGCAGUACUGCCUGUAGUAGCCCACCCGCGCGUUCAUCUGGGCAGUAUUCUUGCCGUUGCACUCGAGGGCGCCGUUGAUGGCCCUGAUGGUGGCGCCGAACCCCUGCGACAUCACCCCGUGCACGUUGUUGGUCCAGAACCAGAGCGCCGUCUUGAACGCGACCACGGCGUCCUGCGCCACCCUGUCCGGGUUCCGAAGCCCGUCGAAGCCGAUGUCCCUCCCGGCAGGCCCGUAGUUGUAGUUCCACGAGAUUUGCAGCGGGCCGCGCCCGUAGUACUUCUGACCCGCGGCACACGGCCACUGCCUGUUGCUCGAGUCGCAGUAGGCGUUGUUCUUGUUGAUCUCGCUGAUGUAGCAGAAAUCUGUAUGUGGUGUCCGUAUCGAGUCGUGCACACAGCAGAAUUACAAAAAUCGAUCAGCAUUAUGCAUGGGUCAAAAAUCAAAGACGAUUACGAUACUGUGGAAGAGAGAUUAGAGUGUGUGGUCAUCAGUGGACGUUCAAUCAACUUACGUCCGGUCUCGUGCGUGAUGUGGGCGAAGAAGGCGGCGAUCUCGCGCUUGCCCUGCACCGACCUGCCACCGAAGCCUUUGUACGCGUCGGCGGCGCUCAGGAACGCGCUCCGGGUGUAGAAGUUCUUGCCCUCGCACCCGUUCCCGGCCUGGUUCUUGAUGCUGUUGAAGAAUGCGUCGGUGACAACGCCAGCCACGUUCCCACCUCCACUGCUGCCGCCGCCAGAGCGGCACGGGCCCGACUGGCACCCGUCGCCGCAGUACUCGUCGGUCGUGCCGCAGUAACCGAACUUGCUGCAGCAGUAACCUGCCUGGCAGCCGCAGUUCUGCGCGGCGGCAGCGCAGAGGAGUGCUAGGCCGAGAGCCAGGACCGCCAUGAUCCUCGGCGCGAUUGCCAUACUGGAUCAGAUCAGUAGUACUUCAGCUUCUGGCCAAAGGUUUGUUGCUGCGGUGCAGCUUUGUUGCGAGGUGAUUUGAGAUGUCACGAGGGUGCCGCUUUAUAUAGGCAUCAGAACGUGCGUCUUGCCGAUGCAUGGCAUGCGACGUGGAGGAUUUGGACGGAGUGGCUGUGUCCCGGUCCACGCAUAGCACUGGCACGUACUGUACGACCGUUCCACGCAUUGCACUGGCACGUACGACUGUUCCACAUUUUAUGAUGGACUUUUGACACAUGGGACAGCUAGCAUGUAUCGACAAGCACAAGUCUAACGUACGUUGGUCGAGAUAUCAUCAGAUUUGGAUUGCCACCGCCCAUCGCCUGAAUGCUCGGUGGAAAAUCCGCGCAUGCUAGCUGCUAGAAGCCAUUUGUUUUCCAUUCCUAUAGUUUUUUUUCCUGACAGAUGCAGUCGCUCGUAAAUACGAGUGUACACUCAACCCUAUGAACAUACACGUACACUUAACUUCUAUGAACAUCUUCGAAAAAACAAAUUAGACCAAUAAAUCUUGAGAGACGCCUCGUUAUCAACAGGAACAUUACCUAUAUUGCAAAUCAAAGGAUCCUGAAAAAUAAGAGAUGCUGGAGAAUAAUAAUGAAGCCGAGAAGGACAAGUGAAGUAAAAGGAGAAGUUUGUAUUUUUUUGCCACCGGAGCCCGUCUGUUCCUUUGAAACUUUUUUCUUAUUCUAGUUUUUGGGAUGUUGUCUGUAAUCUUCAAUCUAGUUUCGCUGUUAGUGUAGCAAAUUGUUCGCUUUCUUAAACUCUGGUUAGUUGUAAGUGGCUGGUCUGGUUCUGUUUCUGUCUACACUAUGUUCUGAAUUAUAUUUCUGUUGGAAGUAAUGAAAAUGAGGAAGAUCCUUUGUAUAAAAAAAGAAUAGUGUCAUUAAAUCCUAGAAUAAAUCUUUCUUAUUCUAGUUUUUGGGACGUUGUCUGUAAUCUUUAAUCUAGUUUCGCAGUUAGUGUAGCAAAUUGUUCACUUUCUUAAACUCUAGUUAGUUGUAAGUGGCUGGUCUGGGUUCUGUUACUAUCUACACUCUGUCCCAAACUGUAUUUCCAUUGAAAGUAAUGAAAAUGGGGAAGAUCCCUUCUAUUGAAAAAAGAAUAGUACCAUUAAAUUCUAAAAUAAAUCUUUCUUAUUCUAGUUUUUGGGACGUUGUCUGUAAUCUUCAAUCUAGCUUCACUGUUAGUGUAGCAAAUUGUUCGCUUUCUUAAACUCUAGUUAGUUGUAAGUGGCUGGUCUGGGUUCUGUUCCUGUCUACACUCUGUCCCGAACUGUAUUUCCGUUGGAAGUAAUGAAAAUGCUUGUAUCGAAAAAAAUAGUUCCAUUAAGUCCUAGAAUAAAUCUAAAAAAAUUCAAGUAGCUGUGUCAAAUCAGUUAAACUUGGACGGUCAGGUUUCACCACAAUCCAACCAGCUGAGCUCGCUCAGUUUGCAUAUUUCCUAUAGUCUGUUUUGUCUUUGUCCUUCCGUAAAAAGAAUUAUAAUUAUUUUAUUGUGAUUUGUGCUAAUAGAUUUAGAACGUUAGAUAGAGAUCUGAUAGUGUUAACCGUCGCCUGAACAAAUGCUAUAUUUCAAACACGUGUAACUUUUCUCGUAUACGUACUGUUGCUUCAAAAAACUCCAUGUACCUCGCAUGUGAGUAUUUAUUGGUGGCCUUGGCCUGCGUGUUCCAACUAAGGCUACCAGAAAUGGUCAACCAAGAACGGAAGACUUCCAAGCUAGCUACCGGUGAUGGAUUGGGCCAUAUGCAUGAUCAAACGAAGUCGUAGAUAGCUUUCUAUAUUUUUGUUAUUUCUGUAGAAGGCUCGUUGGCUUUUUUCCUUCCUUAUUCUCAUUAUGCGUGGAUUUAGAAUAGAAGAGUUCUAGCACUCAAUACAGCGGAAGAUUGUUCUCGUGCCUCACUUUAUUUAUUAAUCGCUCCCUCUAUCGUGUAGUAUAUUCUAAAAAUUAUAAGACAAAAUAAAGAAGAAUAUAAAAUACGUAUCUACCUUUGCUUUAUUUCUUGAUGAGACGUUAUUAUCAACUUAAUUAAUGGUGAUUGGUUGAUAAAUAGAAAAUAUUUUUAACGCCCCCCCCCCCCCACCCCCCACUGACACAAAUUUUGGGCCGUGGUGUAGUGCCACUAAAUGAUGGUGAUUGGUUAAUAAAUGGCAAGUAACACUACCAUACCUACCAAAUUUGUGCAACUAUUUCAUUCAAAAUUAUUUUUCCUCUGUAAUCCCUUGGUUUUGGGUUUAAUUUUUAAUGUUUGUAUGCACUAUAUUAUAUGACAAAAGGAAGUAUAUAACACCCCCUAAUGUCCAGUGUUCGCCGACUGACUUCUCUUUUAAUCAGCCGUGGAAACUGGUUGAAUAUAUACUGUAUACUUACAUCCAAACCCAUGCAAGGAGACCCUUGAAAAGAACACAAAAUUUGCACUGAAGUUAUUUUUUGAGGUUUGAUCUAUCGCAUAUGUGGCCUACCAUUAGGGAUUAGCAGCGCUGGAUGCGCUCUGAUCCACUGUUACUUGGUACUCCUACUAGCCUACUAGGUAAUAAUGUAAGCGUAAAGUAAUCAAAACUCAUCAACAGAGGAAGAUUUGUGAUCGAUAGUAUAUGCAUAAGAUAAUUCAAUCGGAAUAAGAGCAUCUCUAACAGUUAUGCAAUUGGAAUUUGCCAUUUGUUUGAGUUUGCCAAGUCUCUAAACGUUUUGCCAAAGGAAAAAUAAGUUCAUCUCCAAGUGUUUGACAUUUUUGACUUGACAUUUCCCAAAAUAGUGGACCCAACUAUUUUUGUCCGGAAAUCUUUCAUCUUCGCGGGAAAUUUUCUCGCACGUCGCGCGGGCGCUUUCUUUUUCGCACGCAAUUCCUUCGCCCGUCGCGUUCCUUUGUCGCGAUCGAUCUCCGUGAUCAACUCGACGCGGCAGCAGCGCGUGGACUUCGACGUCUUCCUCACGCCGGUGAACCCCAACAAGAUGACGGCGUUGUGGUACAGGAGCGGCACGGUGAAGAUGCGGCGAUGGAUUUCCUAGCCUCGCGUCGCUGCAAGAAAAGGAGGCAGUGAUGGAUCUCUUUGUCCCUGCGCAAAGAAAGGAGACGGCGCGCGGGGGAAAGAAAAGAGUCGCGCGCGAGGAGGACUCGUCUCGCGGGAAACUACCGCGACGUGGGGGUACGACAAGGAGUCCAAGAUUCUCAGGAUAUCAAAAUUGCCAAACCAUUGUGCUUAUGCAAAAAUGCCAAGUUUGGUCCAUCAAAUGUCAAGUUUGCCAAAAUGCAUAAGUCAAAUGUAAAAUUGUUGGAGAGCAAUUUUUAAGGUUUUUGGCAAAUUUCAAGAAUGCAAAGUCCAAUUGCAUAAUGGUUGGAGAUGCUCUAAGAAAUUUGUUUUUCAUUGCAUAGCUCAACCAUUCAGGUACUAUGUUGCACAAGAACCACUUUUCAUCAUGAUUGGUUAUUGGUAUAUGGCCUUCUUUGUGUUUGCAAAAUCUCUCAUAUUUCCAUGCGUUUGGCGGAGAGCGACAAGGUGUGUGUCUCACAAAUCAUCUCCUUCCUCUUAUUUCUUCAACAAAUCAACAUAGGCACAGGUAUGGCUGGAAGGGGCCGAUUCAGCCAAGAGAGCAGCCACCAGCGGCAACGGAUGAAACCGCAAGCUUCACCUAAUCACCACCCACGCACCCGAAGAUGGUUUUAAUUGGUCGAGGCUAGUAACAAGUUGGCCGAGCCUAAGAGCCUUCCCGUCCAGCGGUCGACAACAACAAGUAGAAGGUAGAAGAUAGAUGGAGAUAAAAUGGUAGAUCUGACAUAGAGUUAUCCUAAAUACGUGUGUGCGGAGACGAGAGAACUGCGGCGGACUCAUCUGCACAUUUGUUGAAGCUCGCCUAGACACAGACACUGUUUAUUGAUUUAGUCUUUAAACCCUUGAUGCAAUCGUAGUAAAGUACAAGCGCGAGUGUACACACUAAUGUUUCGAGGGUAUAGUUGCUUCAUUAUUAGUAAGGUGCAACAAACAGGCUCAGCCCCAGCGUUUUAUUGUUACUACUAGCUAGCUCGUACUCGCUAAACUCUGUGUUUCGCGAGGGUGCGACGCCGAGCAUGCAUUUUCUGGACGAGCCAUCCAAGGACUGCCGACGCCACUCGCCUAGCAAGUGAGGUUGGGCCCGGGGUCGACGCCGAGCUGCCGGCAGUACUGCUUGUAGUAGCCCACCCGCGCGUUCAUCUGGGCAGUAUUCUUGCCGUUGCACUCGAGGGCGCCGUUGAUGGCCCUGAUGGUGGCGCCGAACCCCUGCGACAUCACCCCGUGCACGUUGUUCGUCCAGUACCAGAGCGCCGUCUUGAACGCGAUCACGG